AGCUUUGCACAGUGGCAGUAUCAUAGCCAGUGAGGUUUAUCCGAGGCGCGAUUAUUGCUAAUUCAAAUACUACCCAGCUUAGACUGUUGGUAAAGCCCUGUGCAUGCUUGUAUCAAAAAAGAAUGCCCCGCACAAGAGCUGAGCCUUUUUAGGA
rnacentral:snRNA from 1 species